UGGGGAAUAUUGCACAAUGGAGGGAACUCUGAUGCAGCAACGCCGCGUGCGGGAUGACGGCCUUCGGGUUGUAAACCGCUUUCAGCCAUGACGAAGCUUUUGUGAUGGUAGUGGUAGAAGAAGCACCGGCUAACUACGUGCCAGCAGCCGCAGUGAUACGUAGGGUGCGAUCGUUGUCCGGAAUUAUUGGGCGUAAAGAGCUUGUAGGCGGUUUGUCGCGUCGAUAGGGUAAACACGCAGCUUAACUGUGUGCCUGCUGUCGAUACGGGCUGACUAGAGGAGGGUAGGGGAGAGUGGAAUUCCCGGUGGAGCGGUGGAAUGCGCAGAUUACGGGAGGGACACCAGUGGCGAAGGCGGUUCUCUGGACCUUUCCUGACGCUGAGAGGCGAAAGCGUGGGUAGCAAACAGG
rnacentral:rRNA from 1 species